UUUAAAAGUGGGUCCACCUAUUUAGCCACCAUGUAGAUCAAGAAAUAGAAAUGAGGAAAGUAGCAACUUGGAAUAAAAUCAGGCGUGACUAAGGUCUUCAGAGGACAGAGGAUGCUCAUUUCCUUUGCCUUCCCUUGGCUGCGUACAUGU
ensembl:snoRNA